AUGCAGGGUAGUGACAAUUUGAGAAAGGCUAAAUCUGUCUCUCAUUUUGUCUCUGUCACACACAAACACACACACACACACGCACAAAUACUAUGUUUAAGAAAACGUUACUCCUGGCUGAGCCCUUCCUUCUGCCAGGCUCAGUUCCGGGCGCUGGACCCUGAGGGAUUUCUGAUCAGGUUGCGUGUUUGCAGAAGUUGCUGCCUCUGCUGCCCCCGGCAUUUCCUCAGACCCACAUUGCCAUCCUCGGAGCUUGGACCACAGAUGACUGAGCCAGGACUAGGCGAGCAUCUGACCCAGCCAUGGUGUUGUCUGCAUGAGACCUCAUCCAGCUGGUGUGGCCACUGGAUAUAGAGUGGUACCCAAUCAGAUCCUUUCAUUUGAGGAGUCUAAGUGUAACAUAGAGUGGCAGAGGCUGAGAGACUCAUUGAAAAAGGAACAAGCAGAAAACAGGAAGCAGUGGAACCUUGGAGGAAACCAGAGCCAUGAGCAAAGUUCGAUGGUAGCAACAGGAGGGAAGGGAAGAAAGAACACCUGUUUCAAAAGGAGAAGACAAGUUUACAAGAGCCAUUUCCUAGCUCCUUGCCUUGGAAUCCUACCAUUCCCAUUAAUGAAGCCACCUGACUGCUUGUCUAUUCCUAAUCACUAGAGAGAAUCUCACUAACUCUAGUGCCAGGGGCCUGGGAAAGGCUGAAAACUCUUCUGACUUUGUCCUGGGGGAUGGGCCCACAGAAGCAGAAGGCUGACCUCCAAGGACCAUCACCAGCCCAGGGGAGGGAUCCGUUCAGGGUUGGCUAACAGCACUGUGUUGCAGCCACCUUCAUCUUGCUCAAUGGCCUGGAUAAAGAAUUUGAAAAUAUACCUCCUAGGACUGCAGUUGACCCAGAGAGCUGUGAGUGAGUGAUUAUAAAGUGUUGCAAUGUAGGAAUUAUCUAUGAAGUCAUUUAACUGUCUUCCCAGGUGUAUGAAAGUUUGUUUUGAGAUGGAUGUGGCGCGUUUCUCUCUUCAAGGAUCGAACAGAGGAAAGGGCUCCGUUACAGCCAGGGAAAAGAGAAGAAUUCUGAGGGUCUUGGUCCUGCCACAAGCCUCUUGGCCUCAGGCAAGUUGGUCUGUUUCUCCAUCUGUGAAGUGAGGAAGCUGGGCUUUGUGAUCUGCCACCUUCCCCCCCCCACCCCGCCCCGUCUGGCCCACGAGAACGUAUGGCUCUCUUUGGGGGUUCCUCACCUGGACCAAGAUUUCCCACACUAGGGACUUUUUCCUGUGUUAUGUGGAAGUUAC
rnacentral:lncRNA from 1 species